CCGCGUGAGUGAAGAAGUAUUUCGGUAUGUAAAGCUCUAUCGGCAGGGAAGAAAAAGCGCGCGAGCGCCCUUGACAGUACCUGACUAAGAAGCCCGGCUAACUACGUGCC
rnacentral:rRNA from 1 species